rnacentral:SRP_RNA from 1 species
GUGGGGCCUUGGAAUGCCUGUAGUCCCAGCUACUCGGGAGGCUGAGGCAGGAGGAUCGCUUGAGUCCAGGAGUUCUGGGCUGUAGUGAGCUAUGCCGAUCGGGUGCCCGCACUAAGUUUGGCAUCAAUAUGGUGACCUCCCGGGAGCGGGGGACCACCAGGUUGCCUAAGGAGGGGUGAACCGGCCCAGGUCGGAAACGGAACUGUUUUACUGAAUCUAGAGCUGUUUCACUGAGCCUGGAACUGUUUGCAUCACUGAACCUGCCUCCCCAGAAGGGCUUUCUUCCAUCA